CAGGCGGUUGGAAUAGUCUGAUGUGAAAGCCCACGGCUUAACCGUGGAAGGUCAUUGGAAACUGUCCAACUUGAAUACAGAAGAGGUAAGUGGAAUUCCAAGUGUAGCGGUGAAAUGCGUAGAUAUUUGGAGGAACACCAGUGGCGAAGGCGACUUACUGGUCUGUAAUUGACGCUGAGGCUCGAAAGCGUGGGUAGCAAACAGGAUUAGAUACCCUGGUAGUCCACGCCGUAAACGAUGAGUGCUAAGUGUUAGGGGGNUUUCCGCCCCUUAGUGCUGGAGUUAACGCAUUAAGCACUCCGCCUGGGGAGUACGGCCGCAAGGCUGAAACUCAAAGGAAUUGACCGGGAACCCCCNCANCCGGU
rnacentral:rRNA from 1 species